AACUUUCAACAACGGAUCUCUUGGUUCUGGCAUCGAUGAAGAACGCAGCGAAAUGCGAUAAGUAAUGUGAAUUGCAGAAUUCAGUGAAUCAUCGAAUCUUUGAACGCACAUUGCGCCCCUUGGUAUUCCGAGGGGCAUGCCCGUUCGAGCGUCAUUA
rnacentral:rRNA from 2 species